rnacentral:rRNA from 1 species
GACGAACGCUGGCGGCGUGCUUAACACAUGCAAGUCGAACGAAAAGAGGGGAAGAGCUUGCUCUUUCCGGAAUUGAGUGGCAAACGGGUGAGUAACACGUAAACAACCUGCCUUCAGGAUGGGGACAACAGACGGAAACGACUGCUAAUACCGAAUAAGUUCCAAGAGCCGCAUGGCCCAUGGAAGAAAAGGUGGCCUCUACCUGUAAGCUAUCGCCUGAAGAGGGGUUUGCGUCUGAUUAGCUGGUUGGAGGGGUAACGGCCCACCAAGGCGACGAUCAGUAGCCGGUCUGAGAGGAUGAACGGCCACACUGGAACUGAGACACGGUCCAGACUCCUACGGGAGGCAGCAGUGGGGAAUCUUCCGCAAUGGGCGAAAGCCUGACGGAGCAACGCCGCGUGAGUGAUGACGGCCUUCGGGUUGUAAAACUCUGUGAUCCGGGACGAAAAGGCAGAGUGCGAAGAACAAACUGCAUUGACGGUACCGGAAAAGCAAGCCACGGCUAACUACGUG